GAUGAACGCUGGCGGCGUGCUUAACACAUGCAAGUCGAACGGAAAGGCCCAAGCUUGCUUGGGUACUCGAGUGGCGAACGGGUGAGUAACACGUGGGUGAUCUGCCCUGCACUUCGGGAUAAGCCUGGGAAACUGGGUCUAAUACCGGAUAGGACGAUGGUUUGGAUGCCAUUGUGGAAAGUUUUUUCGGUGUGGGAUGAGCUCGCGGCCUAUCAGCUUGUUGGUGGGGUAAUGGCCUACCAAGGCGUCGACGGGUAGCCGGCCUGAGAGGGUGUACGGCCACAUUGGGACUGAGUUACGGCCCAGACUCCUACGGGAGGCAGCAGUGGGGAAUAUUGCACAAUGGGCGCAAGCCUGAUGCAGCGACGCCGCGUGGGGGAUGACGGCCUUCGGGUUGUAAACUCCUUUCGCUAGGGACGAAGCGUUUUUGUGACGGUACCUGGAGAAGAAGCACCGGCUAACUACGUG
rnacentral:rRNA from 1 species